AUGAACGCUAGCUACAGGCUUAACACAUGCAAGUCGAGGGGCAGCAUGGUCUUAGCUUGCUAAGGCCGAUGGCGACCGGCGCACGGGUGAGUAACACGUAUCCAACCUGCCGUCUACUCUUGGACAGCCUUCUGAAAGGAAGAUUAAUACAAGAUGGCAUCAUGAGUCCGCAUGUUCACAUGAUUAAAGGUAUUCCGGUAGACGAUGGGGAUGCGUUCCAUUAGAUAGUAGGCGGGGUAACGGCCCACCUAGUCUUCGAUGGAUAGGGGUUCUGAGAGGAAGGUCCCCCACAUUGGAACUGAGACACGGUCCAAACUCCUACGGGAGGCAGCAGUGAGGAAUAUUGGUCAAUGGGCGAGAGCCUGAACCAGCCAAGUAGCGUGAAGGAUGACUGCCCUAUGGGUUGUAAACUUCUUUUAUAAAGGAAUAAAGUCGGGUAUGCAUACCCGUUUGCAUGUACUUUAUGAAUAAGGAUCGGCUAACUCCGUGCCAGCAGCCGCAGUAAUACGGAGGAUCCGAGCGUUAUCCGGAUUUAUUGGGUUUAAAGGGAGCGUAGAUGGAUGUUUAAGUCAGUUGUGAAAGUUUGCGGCUCAACCGUAAAAUUGCAGUUGAUACUGGAUAUCUUGAGUGCAGUUGAGGCAGGCGGAAUUCGUGGUGUAGCGGUGAAAUGCUUAGAUAUCACGAAGAACUCCGAUUGCGAAGGCAGCCUGCUAAGCUGCAACUGACAUUGAGGCUCGAAAGUGUGGGUAUCAAACAGGAUUAGAUACCCUGGUAGUCCACACGGUAAACGAUGAAUACUCGCUGUUUGCGAUAUACGGCAAGCGGCCAAGCGAAAGCGUUAAGUAUUCCACCUGGGGAGUACGCCGGCAACGGUGAAACUCAAAGGAAUUGACGGGGGCCCGCACAAGCGGAGGAACAUGUGGUUUAAUUCGAUGAUACGCGAGGAACCUUACCCGGGCUUAAAUUGCAGAUGAAUUACGGUGAAAGCCGUAAGCCGCAAGGCAUCUGUGAAGGUGCUGCAUGGUUGUCGUCAGCUCGUGCCGUGAGGUGUCGGCUUAAGUGCCAUAACGAGCGCAACCCUUGUUGUCAGUUACUAACAGGUUCCGCUGAGGACUCUGACAAGACUGCCAUCGUAAGAUGUGAGGAAGGUGGGGAUGACGUCAAAUCAGCACGGCCCUUACGUCCGGGGCUACACACGUGUUACAAUGGGGGGUACAGAGGGCCGCUACCACGCGAGUGGAUGCCAAUCCCCAAAACCUCUCUCAGUUCGGACUGGAGUCUGCAACCCGACUCCACGAAGCUGGAUUCGCUAGUAAUCGCGCAUCAGCCACGGCGCGGUGAAUACGUUCCCGGGCCUUGUACACACCGCCCGUCAAGCCAUGGGAGCCGGGGGUGCCUGAAGUGCGUAACCGCGAGGAGCGCCCUAGGGUAAAACUGGUGACUGGGGCU
rnacentral:rRNA from 1 species